UCCUUCGCAGAUUGGAUUCCCAAUUGGUGUAGGCUUCUGACUGUUGUUGGGGUUGGAUUCCCAGUAGGAAUGAGUUUAUGAUUCCUUCUUGACCCGGGUUGUCCAACCUGUAUAAAUACAGGGCUUCUCUUCACUCUUUCUCACAUUGCAAACUUAACUUCUCUACUUUCUAGCUUGAGAAAGAUCUUGGAGAGUUUUGUACUGCUUGUCGAAGAGAGGAGUUGCCGUGCAUCCCAAAGUAAGUCGAGCACGUAAAUUUUUUAUUCAUCUUCCCAUUUUCGCGGAAGGGACCAGCUGGGUGGGAAUAGGCUGGUUGUCGUCGUGACUGGUUGCCAAAGAUGAUUGGAGCAGUGGUGGCCGCUGGUGGCUGCCGAGCGACAAUCAGGAAGAAGUUAGUGGACUGCCCCCUGCUGAGAAUGUCGAGAGAUGGAAGCAGGAUAGUCCGAACCCUGAUGAUUUGCCUGCUGAACAGGAUGAGUGCUUUGCUGAACCCCCACCAAAAAGGAAGGUCGAU
rnacentral:lncRNA from 1 species